rnacentral:lncRNA from 1 species
AAAGCAAUUAACAGGUUACAGGAAUUGCUCUUAACAGGAAAUUUUUAACAGUAUUAAGAAGACGAAUAUAACGGACACAUUUUUGAAUUCCACCAAUAAGACAGUUAGCGGGUUUAUUAAAACAAAUGGCAGAUGGCAGCCCUUCAGAGACAUCAGACCCUGGAGUCACAGCAGACUCUCGUCUCGUCAGAUGACAAGCAAUGCCGAUCAGUCUACUGCUAUGUGUUCAUAUAUCAUCAACCGAUGCAGUUGGACCAGCACGUGCACCGGAUGUAGACGUUGCAAGAAAGACGAAGCCAGGCAGUCGGGUGAUGGAGCGAUGGAGGAAGCGUUCUCAGCACGUGUAUCACCGCAGUUCUCUGGGUGGGCGGCACAUCACCAUGAUGUUCCUCUAAGGAAAUGAAUCUGUUCUCACUGCUGGCGGUGUUCGGGUCACACAGAACACAAAUUUAUGGUCGAGAUAGAAGUGAGCGCAAGU